GGCAACCAAACAACUGAACAGCAAGCUGCAUGGGGUGACCAGGCCGGCAAGGGGGGCAGUGAGGGGUGACCAGGCAACCUCCAAGGAGAGAUCUGUGAAGGACAGAGCCUCAUGCUUCCAGGAACUCAACUGGACACAUUCUUUCCAUCUGCUCAGAGGAGGUGGUUGCUCAGGAAUAAUGGCUAAUGAGAAUAAGUAGGGGAGAAAACAGGUUGCAGGCAUCAGUAUGAAGAAUGGCAGCUGAAUGAUAAGACUAUACACCCAGAACAUGCAAAGAAAGCUCUGGAUGCUCUUCUGAUCACUUGCUUGGGAACACUGUUUGCAACCAGAAAGGCUCAGAUACGAGGUCAAUAUCCAAAUUCAGACAAGAAAAGCUGCCUUUGGCAACGUGAACACAAAAUUUCAUCCAGAAGUCAGGCUGGAGAGAAUGCCAAGCAAUGGAAGGCAAGAGCCAUGCCCUAGGCUUGAGAGAAGCAAACACCUGAAUCAGAGGCAAUUCCAGCUUUGGGUGCCUACCUCUGGGCAACAGCGAUCACUGCUGGAACCCAGGGCCCCAGCCUUACCCUUUUAUAAACAUUCAUAUAAAGCUAGGCAGGGGGCACAGCAGAACCUUAAGAUCAUACAUUACUGAAGUCAGAGAGACCUGGCUUUUAGUUUGGGUCUAUCACUUGAUAGCUAUGUGACUUUGGACAGACAAGUUGAUGAACUCUUCUGAACCCUAACAGUAUUAAAACAUGUAUACUAAUUAUUACCUAACAGUGACAUUGUGAGGGUUGAAUAAA